rnacentral:lncRNA from 1 species
CCCGGCCCAAGACCCACGGGCACACAGUAGUGUGGCAUUGGCACAAAACACCAGUCUUGGUUCCUGUGUGGUGUCUGUGGGUGUCCUGUUGGCAUCUCAGGUAGGCCAAGGCCUCCAUGGUGCCCCCAAGCACUACUUGGGGCAGCUGCCCUUUCCCCCUGCCCCAGACUGCCAGGUCAGAUCUCAGGAGACAGAGCACUCAAUGCGUGCCCCAUCUAGGUGGGCUCUGGAGAAAGCCCCCUGAACUGAGGACACCCAAACCUCAUAAAUCACUGUGAAGCUUCUUCAGUCAGAGGCCUGGGGGGCACUCAGUAGGGGGCUCCCUCUAAGGUCUGGUCCCUAAGCUCCACCUUCAAGGGUCGACAGCUUCCCCUGUAGUCCUGACCUGUGGGUGACAGUCUGCUCAGUUGUGGGGUGUGCGAAGGGCAACCCCAAGAAUAGAAGGCCAAGACAAAGAGCUUGGCUUUUCUGAAAAAGAGACGGGGCACCCCCUUCACUGGGAGCUAUUACAUGCAAAUGUCUCCUGCAUCCAUGCUAAUCAGCUGCCACCGCCUGGGGCUUUGUGCACUACAAAAGAGACAGCAGAUGUGAGCUGGGGUUCCACAGCCCCAGAAAGCGCGGGAGCUUAGUGGAUAAUUAUGAAAAGCAUGGGGUUGUGGAGGGUAGGGGGUGGGGGCGCGGUGCAAAGCCACAAAACCGGCCUGCACCAGCCCCCUCGCUCCACAUGCUGUCUGCUGGGCCAGCUCGCCCAGUCUUUCUUCUCCCGCGGGCCAAGACUAUCCCAGCCUCCAGAGAGCCAGCUGGGAGGUACUGGGGGCCACGCUCAGGGGACCCCAGGUUCUACCUGUGCUCUGGGCCUGGGCAAUGCCAGGCCAGGCUAGUUGACCCCUGAGCCUCACCACUACAAGGAGGCAAUCAAGCCUGCUUCCUGGUGCUAAAGAGGGUCUGUCACAUUGUGACACAUGGCAGGAGCUGGGCUGCAGCUCUCUAUGGGGACUAGGCCAGCAGGAGGCCCUUUGCAGAGGAGACACCCACAGUGGCCUGGAAGGUCGGGCUGAAUGAGGCGUGUCAUGGAGCGGCAAGAAGACCCCAGGCUGCUGAGGGGGAUCAUCUCCCAGAGCGACUGGGACCCUCCACACCCUGGCUCUCAUUGCCAAGGACAGAGAGCUCAGUGCAGCAAGCUGGGCUGGGGCCUGCCUUCAGGCUGGCAAAAGGGCCUCACCCAGAGGAGGGGAGUACAGGGGGGCGCUCCAGAGAGGCUGGAGCGGAGGCAGCCUCCAAUGGAGGAAAUCGAAGUUGGGUCAGGGAGAAGCUGCCCUGGGGCUGAGGCCCACUUGAAGUCCCUGCCUAGUGCACCUCUUGAAAGAGUCUGAGUC